GGGAAUAUUGCGCAAUGGAGGAAACUCUGACGCAGUGACGCCGCGUAUAGGAAGAAGGUUUUCGGAUUGUAAACUAUUGUCGUGAGGGAAGAAAUUGACAGUACCUCAGGAGGAAGCUCCGGUUAACUAUGUGCCAGCAGCCGCGGUAAUACGUAGGGGGCAAGCGUUAUCCGGAUUUACUGGGUGUAAAGGGAGCGUAGACGGCCAGGCAAGUCUGAAGUGAAAGCCCGGGGCUCAACCCCGGGACCGCUUUGGAAACUGUAUGGCUAGAGUGCGGGAGGGGUAGGCGGAAUUCCUAGUGUAGCGGUGAAAUGCGUAGAUAUUAGGAGGAACACCGGUGGCGAAGGCGGCCUACUGGACCGUAACUGACGUUGAGGCUCGAAGGCGUGGGGAGCAAACAGG
rnacentral:rRNA from 1 species